rnacentral:misc_RNA from 1 species
GUGAAUCAUCGAAUUUUUGAACGCAAAUUGCACUCUCUUCGGAGAGUAUGCCUGUUUGAGGGUCAGCAUAAAAAAAAUAGACAUAGUUGCUGAUACGCGGUAACAUUCGUCGGAAAUUGGGUCAUCUUAUAGCUUUUUGUUUAAGAGGGUUAAAAUUUUAUUUUCGUUUACACGAACGUUUCUAAGAUUUUAUUUUCUUUUACGUUUAAGGUAUAGUUUUUUAUUAUCGGUUGCCGUUGCA